ACAGUGAAUGGAUUUAAAUUUUUCUUCUCCCCACACAUAAAUAUCACCAAUAAAAUUGUUUUGUAAGUCUCUGAACUAAUUCUUAAAUACAUUGCCUACCAAUUCUACAGCUUCAAAGAUAUGUUAGUUUUAAAACUGUGUGUAAUAUAAAUGUGCUUAAGAAUCAC